rnacentral:siRNA from 1 species
UGUCGUAAUCUUGGAUUGGGCUC